rnacentral:rRNA from 1 species
AGGGCACCACCAGGAGUGGAGCCUGCGGCUUAAUUUGACUCAACACGGGGAAACUCACCCGGCCCGGACACUGGAAGGAUUGACAGAUUAAGAGCUCUUUCUUGAUUCAGUGGGUGGUGGUGCAUGUCCGUUCUUAGUUGGUGGAGCGAUUUGUCUGGUUAAUUCCGAUAACGAACGAGACUCUAGCCUAUUAAAUAGACGACCGAUCACACGUGUCGGUCGAUCUUCUUAGAGGGACAAGCGGCGUUUAGCCGCACGAGACAGAGCAAUAACAGGUCUGUGAUGCCCUUAGAUGUCCGGGGCCGCACGCGCGCUACACUGAAGGAAUCAGCGUGUGAUUGCCCCUGUCCGGUAGGACUGGGUAACCCGUUGAACCUCCUUCGUGAUAGGGAUAGGGGCUUGUAAUUAUUCCCCUUGAACGAGGAAUUCCCAGUAAGCACGAGUCAUCAGCUCGUGUUGAUUACGUCCCUGCCCUUUGUACACACCGCCCGUCGCUACUACCGAUUGAAUGAUUUAGUG